GCUGAUAUAUUUAUUUUGGGCUAAUUGGGCUACUAUUUCUGAAUUUUGGUUACAUUUUGGGCUGCUGACAUUCAUUAUUGUUGCCGGGUUAUAAUUUAUUCUUUUGGACUAUUGGGCCACCAUUUGGACUAUAGUAAACAUAUUAACAUUAUUGAUUAGAGAAAUUGUGUUGGAUUGCUGCAUUUGUGAUGUCGACAAAAAAUAUUCUCGUUACGAUUUAAUGGAAAAAUUAAUCCACAUGGAAGUUUCAGUUCAAAAUGUUUAUAAAAAGCAAAGAACUUUGGGGACAUUUAGAUGAGAGUCAUCUACGACUCUUGAAGAUAAAAAAGGGAUAGAACAAUGGGAAAGUGUAGAUGCUCGUAUUAUCUCAUGGAUUUUGGGAUCAAUGGAAUCUCAUAUGAUAUCCAAUCUCCGCUCAUUCACUAUGGCCAAG
rnacentral:lncRNA from 1 species